CCUACGGGUGGCUGCAGUGGGGAAUAUUGGACAAUGGGCGAAAGCCUGAUCCAGCCAUGCCGCGUGUGUGAAGAAGGCCUUCGGGUUGUAAAGCACUUUCAGUGGGGAAGAAAGCCUUGGGGCUAAUACCCUCGAGGAAGGACAUCACCCACAGAAGAAGCACCGGCUAACUCCGUGCCAGCAGCCGCGGUAAUACGGAGGGUGCGAGCGUUAAUCGGAAUUACUGGGCGUAAAGCGCGCGUAGGCGGUCUGAUAAGCCGGUUGUGAAAGCCCCGGGCUCAACCUGGGAACGGCACCCGGAACUGUCAGGCUAGAGUGCAGGAGAGGAAGGUAGAAUUCCCGGUGUAGCAGUGAAAUGCGUAGAGAUCGGGAGGAAUACCAGUGGCGAAGGCGGCCUUCUGGACUGACACUGACGCUGAGGUGCGAAAGCGUGGGUAGCAAACAGGAUUAGAUACCCGAGUAGUC
rnacentral:rRNA from 1 species